rnacentral:rRNA from 1 species
GAUGAACGCUGGCGGUCUGCUUAACACAUGCAAGUCGAACGAACUCUUCGGAGUGAGUGGCGGACGGGUGAGUAACGCGUGAGAAUCUGCCUGUGGGUCGGGGACAACCACUGGAAACGGUGGCUAAUACCGGAUGAGCCGAAAGGUAAAAAAUUUAUUGCCCACAGAUGAGCUCGCGCCUGAUUAGCUAGUUGGUAAGGUAAAAGCGUACCAAGGCGACGAUCAGUAGCUGGUCUGAGAGGAUGAGCAGCCACACUGGGACUGAGACACGGCCCAGACUCCUACGGGAGGCAGCAGUGGGGAAUUUUCCGCAAUGGGCGAAAGCCUGACGGAGCAAGACCGCGUGGGGGAGGAAGGUUUUUGGAUCGUAAACCCCUUUUGUCAAGGAAGAAGUUCUGACGGUACUUGACGAAUAAGCCUCGGCUAACUCCGUGCCAGCAGCCGCGGUAAUACGGAGGAGGCAAGCGUUAUCCGGAAUGAUUGGGCGUAAAGCGUCUGUAGGUGGCCAGCUAAGUCUGCUGUUAAAGAUCACAGCUCA